UUCAGAGGAUUUAAAAGCCCCAAAGACACGAGAUCUCAUCAGAUCUUGGAAGCUAAGAAGGGUCAGUCCUGGUUAGUGUUUGGAUUUUUUUGUGUCAGGAGUGACUUGAGAAACUGCAAGUUGCUUCUGGUG
rnacentral:rRNA from 11 species